UGGUGGAGUGAUUUGUCUGGUUAAUUCCGAUAACGAACGAGACCUUAACCUGCUAAAUAGUCAGGCCGGCUUUUGCUGGUCGCCGGCUUCUUAGAGGGACUGUUUGCGUCUAGCAGACGGAAGUUUGAGGCAAUAACA
rnacentral:rRNA from 1 species